rnacentral:lncRNA from 1 species
UAAUUUUUCACACAUAGGGGUAUUUUGGUCAUUUUGGCCCAAAAUUCAGAAACAAUUUCCUACGCAUUCGUUGAGUUGACUACUAUCGUUUCACUUCAAAGUCUUAAACGUCCUUUGAAAAAUUCACCAAAUGUUACAUAAGGGCAUUUUUGUCCAACUUGAAAUUAAACACACUUAAUUUAAUAGUCUUAAUCCAAAAUCACUUGAU